rnacentral:rRNA from 1 species
AACGAACGCUGGCGGCAGGCCUAACACAUGCAAGUCGAACGGGAUCUUCGGAUCUAGUGGCGGACGGGUUAGUAACGCGUGGGAACGUACCCUUUUCUACGGAAUAGCCUCGGGAAACUGAGAGUAAUACCGUAUACGCCCUUCGGGGGAAAGAUUUAUCGGAGAAGGAUCGGCCCGCGUAAGAUUAGAUAGUUGGUGGGGUAAUGGCCUACCAAGUCUACGAUCUUUAGCUGGUUUGAGAGGAUGAUCAGCAACACUGGGACUGAGACACGGCCCAG